AUUGAACGCUGGCGGCAUGCCUUACACAUGCAAGUCGAACGGCAGCACGGGUGCUCGCACCUGGUGGCGAGUGGCGCACGGGUGAGUAAUACAUCGGAACGUACCUUAUCGUGGGGGAUAACGCAGCGAAAGCUGUGCUAAUACCGCAUACGCCCUGAGGGGGAAAGCGGGGGAUCGAAAGACCUCGCGCGAUUAGAGCGGCCGAUGCCUGAUUAGCUUGUUGGUGGGGUAAAAGCCCACCAAGGCGACGAUCAGUAGCUGGUAUGAGAGGACGUGAAGCCACACUGGGACUGAGACACGGCCCAGACUCCUACGGGAGGCAGAAGUGGGGAAUUUUGGACAAUGGGGGCAACCCUGAUCCAGCAAUGCCGGGUGAGUGAAGAAGGCCUUCGGGUUGUAAAGCUCUUUUGUCAGGGAAGAAACACCGGCUCUAACACAGUCCGGGAAUGACGGUACCUGAAGAAUAAGCACCGGCUAACUACGUGCCAGCCGCCGCCGUAA
rnacentral:rRNA from 1 species